rnacentral:rRNA from 1 species
AGAUUGAACGCUGGCGGCAUGCCUUACACAUGCAAGUCGGACGGCAGCACGGGAGCAAUCCUGGUGGCGAGUGGCGAACGGGUGAGUAAUAUAUCGGAACGUGCCCAGUCGUGGGGGAUAACGCAGCGAAAGCUGUGCUAAUACCGCAUACGAUCUAUGGAUGAAAGCGGGGGAUCGCAAGACCUCGCGCGAUUGGAGCGGCCGAUAUCAGAUUAGCUAGUUGGUGGGGUAAAGCCUACCAAGGCGACGAUCUGUAGCUGGUCUGAGAGGACGACCAGCCACACUGGAACUGAGACACGGUCCAGACUCCUACGGGAGGCAGCAGUGGGGAAUUUUGGACUAAGU